CCCUCUCUAAUCACACCCCACCCUCUCUAUUCAAACUCUCUCUAUUCAGAUUCAAACCGCAUGACCAAAAUAAAUAAGCCCCUGGGACCUCGCCUCUCUACAAGACACCAUACUCUAUUUAAAGAAAAUGAGACAAUAGUGUCCUGAUCUAUCACACUGUAGGUUGCGUCAAUAUUCAUACUUGAUAUCGAGCUAAUUUCCUGUUCUGAUCAACUACGCAUGCCUGUGCCGGAGAUAACGUCGCUGGAUAAACAGACAUUUAAACAUGUUAACUGAGACAGGAUUUAUACAGGAUAUGGCAGUACAUCCCGCCUUCUCGUGACGACGUAAAGCAACGUAGGAUGACAAAGUAAAGACAAAGAAUAUUAUAUAUA